GUUGAACGCUGGCGGCAUGCCUUACACAUGCAAGUCGAACGGCAGCGGGGACUUCGGUCCGCCGGCGAGUGGCGAACGGGUGAGUAAUGUAUCGGAACGUACCUUUCAGUGGGGGAUAACGUAGCGAAAGUUACGCUAAUACCGCAUAUUCUCUGAGGAGGAAAGCAGGGGACCUUCGGGCCUUGCGCUGAUGGAGCGGCCGAUAUCAGAUUAGCUAGUUGGUGGGGUAAAGGCUCACCAAGGCUACGAUCUGUAGCGGGUCGGAGAGGAAGAACCGCCACACUGGGACUGAGACACGGCCCAAACUCCUACUGGAGGCAGCAGUGGGGAAUGUUGGACAAUGGGCGAACGCCUGAUCCAGCCAUGCCGGGUGAGUGAAGAAGGCCUUCGGGUUGUAAAGCUCUUUCGGACGAGAAGAAAUCAUGAGGGCUAAUAUCCCUUGUGGAUGACGGUACCGUAAUAAGAAGCACCGGCUAACUACGUGCCAGCCGCCGCGGUAA
rnacentral:rRNA from 1 species